UACGUAGGGUGCAAGCGUUAAUCGGAAUUACUGGGCGUAAAGCGUGCGCAAGCGGUGAUGUAAGACAGUUGUGAAAUCCCCAGGCUCAACCUAGGAACUGCAUCUAUGACUGCAUCGCUGGAGUGCGGCAAAAAGGGAUGGAAUUCCGCGUGUAGCAGUGAAAUGCGUAGAUAUGCGGAGGAACACCGAUGGCGAAAGCAAUCCCCUGGGCCUGCACUAACGCUCAUGCACGAAAGCGUAGGGAGCAAACAGG
rnacentral:rRNA from 1 species